GUCCAUUGUAGGAUACUCGCUGUCUUUUUCUUCACUUUGCUUGGCUGUUCUGAUCAUGAGUCUUCUGAGGAAGCUUCACUGUACGAGGAACUACAUCCACAUGAAUCUCUUUGUAUCAUUCAUAUUUAGAGCAACAGCAGUAAUUAUUAAAGAGGUUAUAUUACAUGUUGCGUAUACCAACCUGCCCAGGGACGAGAUCGGAUGGAACAGCUACACAAAAUCUACGAUUUCAUUCGUCUGCAAGGCCUCAAAGGUGUCGCUGGAAUAUUUUGUGGGCUGUAAUUACUUCUGGCUGUUAGUGGAGGCGAUAUUCCUGCACACGCUGCUGUUCACCGCAGUUCUGACCAGGAAAAGACUUCUGAAGAAAUAUAUGAUUAUAGG